rnacentral:rRNA from 1 species
GAUGAACGCUGGCGGCGUGCCUAAUACAUGCAAGUCGAGCGAACAGACGAGGAGCUUGCUCCUCUGACGUUAGCGGCGGACGGGUGAGUAACACGUGGAUAACCUACCUAUAAGACUGGGAUAACUUCGGGAAACCGGAGCUAAUACCGGAUAAUAUAUUGAACCGCAUGGUUCAAUAGUGAAAGACGGUUUUGCUGUCACUUAUAGAUGGAUCCGCGCCGCAUUAGCUAGUUGGUAAGGUAACGGCUUACCAAGGCAACGAUUCGUAACCGACCUGAGAGGGUGAUCGGCCACACUGGAACUGAGACACGGUCCAGACUCCUACGGGAGGCAGCAGUAGGGAAUCUUCCGCAAUGGGCGAAAGCCUGACGGAGCAACGCCGCGUGAGUGAUGAAGGUCUUCGGAUCGUAAAACUCUGUUAUUAGGGAAGAACAAAUGUGUAAGUAACUAUGCACGUCUUGACGGUACCUAAUCAGAAAGCCACGGCUAACUACGUG